rnacentral:rRNA from 1 species
GUAGCGGCGAGUGAAGCGGCAAAAGCUCAAAUUUGAAAUCUGGCACUUUCAGUGUCCGAGUUGUAAUUUGAAGAAGGUAUCUUUGGGUCUGGCUCUUGUCUAUGUUUCUUGGAACAGAACGUCACAGAGGGUGAGAAUCCCGUGCGAUGAGAUGACCCAGACCUAUGUAAAGUUCCUUCGAAGAGUCGAGUUGUUUGGGAAUGCAGCUCUAAGUGGGUGGUAAAUUCCAUCUAAAGCUAAAUAUUGGCGAGAGACCGAUAGCGAACAAGUACAGUGAUGGAAAGAUGAAAAGAACUUUGAAAAGAGAGUGAAAAAGUACGUGAAAUUGUUGAAAGGGAAGGGCUUGAGAUCAGACUUGGUAUUUUGUAUGUUACUCUUUCGGGGGUGGCCUCUACAGUUUACCGGGCCAGCAUCAGUUUGGGCGGUAGGAGAAUUGCAAAGAAAUGUGGCACUGCCUCGGUAGUGUGUUAUAGUCUUUGUCGAUACUGCCAGCCUAGACUGAGGACUGCGGCUUCGGCCUAGGA